rnacentral:rRNA from 1 species
UGCGUAGGUGGCGCCGUAAGUCGGAUGUGAAAUUUCGGAGCUUAACUUCGAAACUGCAUUCGAUACUGCGGUGCUUGAGGACUGGAGAGGAGACUGGAAUUCAUGGUGUAGCAGUGAAAUGCGUAGAGAUCAUGAGGAAGACCAGUGGCGAAGGCGGGUCUCUGGACAGUUCCUGACACUGAGGCACGAAGGCCAGGGGAGCAAACG